AAAACCCAUAUAUACUUCAGAAAAAGAAUUUCAGCCUCUUGGAGUGGAACCCUAGCUUAGAUCUCCUCUAGAACAAGACUAUAAUCAUCUAAGUUCCUAUUUUUUAUUCAUUUUCCCUAGAGAUUUUUGUUCUACACACAAUAAAUAGCAACCAAGAGUCUUAUUAUAUGAAAUUUCUGCAGUUCCAGCCAAGAACCUUUUCCCUCCAGUUCUUUUAGCUCACACCUCUAUCUUUUUGCUUUGAUGCUCUAGUUCACACCCUUGGGAAGAAGACUAAGUCAGUUGGGUGUAUAAAAAAGUGGAGGGAAGUUACAAACAAGCAUAAACGUGCAACCUACAGCUUGAAGGGGAUUUAUUGAAGUGCAAGAGGAAACAAUGGUUGGGCUCGGAGGUAAGUAGCUAUGACCAAACUUCUUACACAAUAUUUUUCUUCUAUUAAAUGCUCUCUUUUUCUUCAAAUGCUUAUUUUUAAUGAAAAAGUAAAUGUAUAUAAUGCAUAUAAUGUAUAAGCUUUCUUGGUGGCCCAUGUUAAGCAUUGUUUUAUUUAUUUAUUUAUUCAAGAGCGGGCAGUCACCUGUCCAAUAGUGACUCCCUCAUGAAUUUAUUAAUAAAGCCCUCACUUAUGGCGGAAGAAAAUCGUGGAAACAAACAAGGCCCAUGAGGAAAAAACUCAAAAUGCCCAAACCAGAAAAAGACCCUAGAUAAGCCUAUGAGCAUAAACAUGAACAUGAAAGCCAAAAACAAUAAAAGGACUAUCGACAUCUUAAGGAAGGAAGUCCAGAUAAAUCCAAAUGGAUCAAACCUCUAAGUGCCCGAGGUAUGAUAGAAUUAUUUGUAUAGACCAAAUCAACACCAAGGCCCAUGUUAAGCAUUGUAUUAAUUAUAAAUGUGUGUAUAAGUAUGAUGUAAAAUAUUCACAUUCAAGGUUGAGAUCAUGAAAUUUAUCAUGUACAUAUUUUCUUAAAAACAAGUGAUUUUAUCAAUAUAAAGUUAUAGCAUGAAAUGCAUUUUCGUAUGAAAGAAAAGGCAUAUUGCAUUGGACUAAGAAAGAUAAUGAAAAUAUUAUGAAAGGAAAAAGGAAAGAUAAAAGGAAAUGAAGGUUUUAUGUAUGAAAAUACGUAAUGGCCAACGACGGAAUGAUAAUGGUACCAAAGAGGGGCAGAUUGGAACACCAAAUCGAUUCUAUUGAUAGUGCACCCAGUGGCGCCACGGGCAGAAUCAGGUCCAAAAGAGCGCUAACCUUAACACACAAGGAGUAAUAGUGUGUACCGGCUAAAGAAAAUUUAAAAUUGAUUCACAAUGUUUAAUUGAAAUGUUUUAAACUUGUAUGACUGUUAAAAAAAAAUGAGUAACUGAUGUAUGAUAUUUUAACUGUAUAGUGUAACUGCUUACCAAGUAUUAGACUCACUUUUAUGUUUAAUGUUUUAAACAUCCAAGUAAUGACAUAGAUGAAGAUGCAGAGCAAGACACUACUCAGAAAGGAGAGAUGGAUGCUUAGAAGCCUUGAGUUGGGUCUUGUUAAUGAUGUUUCCGUUUUUGGUUGGUUUUGUGAAACUGUUUGGACUAUGUAUUUUGAGAAAGCAAGCAUUUUGUAAAUAGGGUAGAUGUUCAUAUUAUGUAAAUAGUUAUGGUUUUUAAUAUGUAACCAAUGGGACAAUCUUAUAUUCUGACAAAUAUCUUAUAUUAUUUUAAGUAUAUUAGUAGAACGAAACAUAGCAGCUCA